AACCAUGCCAACUGCUAAUGCCACCCUUGACCUGAACUGUCAAGAGUCCUAACAGGUUGUGUUAUCAAAUCCUAGGUUUGAGGAGGGACCAAGGAUCAUCCACAUUGUAGCUGUGCUCCAUAUUGACGGGUCUCCUGAGAACAGCCUGUCUUAGUUGGCUACACAUAGGAAAACAAGCAGCAUAGGAAUACUGAGCUAGAUGGACCAUUGGUCUACACUCACUGGGAGGGUUUCAGGCAAGGAGUCUUUCCCAGCCCUACCUAGAGGUGCCAGGGAUGGAAUCUGAGACCUUCUGCAUGCACCUCUGAGCUAAAGCUCUUCCCCUUUCACCAGGACUGGCCUUAGGUUUGAGAAGGCACUGGGCAAAAUGCUAGGGUCUUGUUGGGCUUACUUUCCUUGUAGUAGUGGCGGCAGCCAGCCAGCCUCAAUGCUCUGGGAAGAAAUCGGACCUCAUUUUAUUUUCACACAAUUCCGCAGGCUAAUGCUAUACCAGGGACAUUGUAGGAUAUUUAAAUAGCUGCCAAGCACUGCUCAGUGCAUCAGACUUGGAGGGAAAUUGAGGGAUGUUCUGGUCAGGUGUCAGCAGUAGGCUCUGCUAGGUUGCUGGGACCCUGGCAGCAGUCCAAGGAUGCCAGGUUCUGACACAAGCCCUGGGGUCCACACUUCAGCCCUCUCUUCUUCACCCCCUUUUAUGGAUAGCAUCUGCUUCUGUGUGUGAUGGCCUGGGAUUCCGAUUCAGGGGCUGAACCGGAGGAAUCCCAGCCUGCACAGGAGUCCCCGCCUCCAGGGCCGGCUGAACUGGGGCAGGGCCUUGAUUCUGAAGCGCCUGCACCUGUGCCAGAUCCUCAGGAGCAGGCACCAGGUGAAUCCACUCUGGCUCCGGAGGUGGUUGAGGACUCAGUGCCUACAGGUGAGUCUCCCCCUGGGCACAGUAACCCUUCGGCCUCUCCUGAACUGCAGAGGUUCAGGGCAGAGAGGCGAAGGGAACUGGUUUCUCCCAGGAGGAGUGCUCGCCUUAAGGCCAGGAGAGGCGGGUCUCCUGGGGGCCGGGACCGCCCCUGGCCUCAGAGAAGAUACAAGGCCAGUCAGCCCGGUCCCAGGUUGUGGGAGCAACGUCGUCAAUGAGCUGUUUCGGCCAGCAUCCAGUCCUGUUCCCCCAGUGUUCCUGUCCCCACCCGGCUUCCUGCUUCGGACCUCACCUCGCUCCUUGAGAACUGUUUCCAGACCAGUGACCCAGGACCGGACUUUGACUACGCCAACGGUAACCUUCCCCCCGGGACCAGCACACUGUGUCUCUGGUGUCAUCAGCAAGAAAGGAAAGAUUGAUUCCUGUGCAGUUUUUCUCCUGAACUUUUGCUCUCCAGGAAUCAAUAAUUAAUGCGGCCCCAAGAUGGCAAGAGUGCACGUCCACAAUUACCUUCCCAUAGGUAGGCCGUGAAUGGUUCUUGGCAGAUGGACUGAUUGCACUUGUUACGUGUGAAAUGCCAUGUGCUUCCCUAGUCGGUUCUCGAGCUAAUCAAAUGCUCCUGCACAAAGAUCAGAUGCUCACUGCCUUGCAAAUGUUUGACCAACGGUAGCCUGCCUCGUGGAGAAAUGGGGGCGGGGUGUGUGUGCGCGCAAAGCAUAUAAAUCUCAUUAUGACAACGUGUCUAGUAAUGGGGUCUUCCAGGGUGCCUUUCAGCACAUAAAUAUUUCAGUGCUGCUUGCCAAAGCUAACUUUUAGAAUACUAUGCCCAUGUAAUUUUGUGUAAUUAUUACAUUUACAUCCAAUGAGCUCAAGGUGACAUUUAUUGUUUACCCUUCCCUGCUUUAUCCUCUCCUGUGAUGUAAGCUAGAAUGAGGGACAAUCACUGGCUCAGGGUCACCCUGUGAGUUUCAUGGCUGAGUGGGAAUAUGAACCCUGGUCUCCCAGGUCCCAAUUUGACACACUAACCAUUACACCACAUGCUAAUGUACCCAAAAGUUUAUUUCUGAACAAUUUCUUAAAUCUUUAUUGAUAAAUACUUGUCUGGGUUUGUACUAUUUGGUGGCAUUAUAUUUGUGAAACUGUGUUCACUGGGUACCUAACUAGGCCCAUUUGCAGUACCGUUGUGUUACUCAGGUGGGGCAGAGGGACACACUUCCUUCGCAGUGCGGAAAAUGACAUCAUACAAACAUUCCCUUUUUUCUGAAUCAAAUGACACCUUGUCUUUCCAACACAAACCUACCCUUGGAAUGAUCCUUGCUUCUGGCUGAGUUUGCUUCUUUUACUUGCUGUAUUGUAAUUCUGUUGUGUGCAUUGAUAGCCAGCUAUUGCCCCCUCUGAGACACUGUGUUUUGUGUGUCUGUCUGUCUCCAGAACCAGAUGUACAAAGUAAGGGCAAAAAGUCAGCUGCCACUUCCCAUCAUCCUUGAGGAUAAAUUGAGCAGAAAUUCAUUCAGGGGAUGCUUUAAAAAUUGCAUCAGUGCAGCACUCUUCCCUUUGCCCAGACUGGUCAGUAUGCUCUCUAGGUAUGAUACUGUGAUGAUUAAAAGGGACACGGGUGGCACUGUGGUCUAAACCAUUGAACCUCUUGGGCUUGCCAAUCAGAAGGCCGCUGGUUCGAAUCCCCGCGAUGGGGUGAGCUUUUGUUGCUCUGUCCCAGCUCCUGCCAACCUAGCAGUUCGAAAGCAUACCAGUGCAAGUAGAUAAAUAGGUACCACUGCGGUGAGAAGGUAAACGGCGUUUCCUUGCGCUCUGGUUUCCGUCACAGUGUCCCGUUGCACCAGAAGCGGUUUAGUCUAAGGUUACCCCGUUUCCAGGGGACAGUCCCCGGAUUUACAGAUCAGUCCCCAUGCAAAAUCCAUUGAAGUUGAAAAGUGUCCCCGGAUUCAUUGAAAAAAAUCUGGUAACCUUAGUUUAGUCAUGCUGGCCACAUGACCUGGAAAUCUGUCUGUGGACAAACGCCAGCUCCCUUGGCCUGAAAAGCAAGAUGAGCACUGCAAUCCCAUUGUUGUCUUUGACUGGACUUAACAAUCCGGGGGGUGCUAUACCUUUUUACCUUACUGUGAUGAUUGGGGUGGUGGUAGAUUUUGCCUAAAUGUGUUAUGAUUUAGUAACAGAAAUAAUGGUUUGAUUCAACUUUGCUAAACACAGAACCCCCCUUGGAUUUUGUUAUGGUAACCAGCCAAGAGGCAGAGCUAGCUGGAUGGCCCAUUAGCAGGGGACAAAGGCUAAUUGCCAGAAAUUGGAAAGGAGAAUUAUUACCAACAAAAGAGGAAAGGCAGAGUAAAUUAUUUGAAUAUCUCAAACUGGCAAAAAUGGCGAAGACAAUUAGGAGACAGCCAAACCAAAAGUUCAAAAAGAAGUGGGAAAUUUAAAAAGAAUAUUUAAAACCUGGACAUGCUUUGAUUAAUUUUCGCAAACCACAAUAUGGAUUAUAAGUAUAGUAUUCAGAUAACAGAAGAAAUGGCAAAAUGAUUAAAGAAGCAGUUUAUUAAACAGAUAAGACAGACCCGCAUUGAGGAAGACUGAAGUCUGUUGGGGAAGAUAAGGAAUUGGGAAUUAAGAACAUGGUGGCAUACGUUCUUUUGUAAGAACAUAUGGAUUUAUGGAUGUAUGUAUGUUUUUUAUUUUUGUUAAUUUCUUGUGUGUGUUUGUUAAGUAAGAAAACUAAUAAAAAGCAUAUUUUUUAAAAAAGACUAGUGAUGGCCCAUCAAGGAAACCAUCAGAGGGCCAGACUGUUGGGCAAGGGGACGUAGGGCCCCUUAUUUGUUGGGUGGCAGUGGGCAGAGGCAAAGGUUGGGUUUAAAGUUUCAACCUUGAAUGGUUGAUAGGAGGUCCUGGGAGUCAGCAGAAAGAAGGAGAGGAAGGAGCAGAACUCCAUGUGAAUUGGGAACGAUAGGAAGGAACGAAGAAAGAGGAUGGCUUUUUGCUAUCCUUCACAUCCAAUGCUGCCCUUAUGCGGGAAGCCAGACCCUCAUAGGAUGUGAAUGCGCUGCAAUCCCUCCAUCUAAGUUAAGGUUGUAUAUAUGUGAGAAUAAAACCAUACAUCAUGAAGACACUGCAGUCUCUGCUGUGCUUUAUUCCCCAAAGGAAACACAUACCCUGGGUAAACAUCUGGAAUCUUGUGCUGCUGGUGGAGAUUGGGGUGGGGUGUAACAAUAUUUUAGGUUUUGUGACAUGUUUGUCUUCCUGCUGGAUAAUGUGUAAAAUGAGUUGCCUUGCUGGAAAAGAAGGUACAGCAACUUGAGGCACACAACUUUAAUCUACAGGACAAGAUACUGAGUUUCUUGAUAGAGAUGAGUGGACUGUGCUGGAACAGCAACAUAGGUAGGACGCCCCUACAGAGAAGGAAGACCACCCAUUGCAAGAAACGAACCCCUGGAGGAAUGUGGCUCACAGAAAUGGGAUUGUCAGGAGCCAUGCUGUGUUAUUAAGUCGGCAAAAUCGAUUCCAUGCCCUCAUCUUGGAUUCUGGGCUAGAGGAGCUAGGAAAGCAGCCGCUGACCUCAGAAUACCCUGAGGUGACUGUGAAAGGUACAAUGCUCAGAACUGAUUCCUGCCCCCACCUCAAAAGGAGGAAAAGACAGGAGGAGAUGGACUUGGAGGAGCCGUUUUCCAUUCUUCACCUAAUCCCUUCAAGAUCUAAGACUACUGAUCAUGGAUGAUAACCAACUUGCUACCUUUCAAGGAAAUGAUCUCAGAAAAAGGGAAUUGCAGUCUGGAGAAGGCAAGUUCAAAGGAAGGAGUAGGAAGAACUUGAACCAUAAGGUUCCUGACUUUGUAACCUAUCCCAAUAAUACCCAGAUAAGAACCAAUAGACAAGAAGGAAAGUCUCAAGGACAGCAGUUGCAGACUAUAGAAAUCAUUGAUGUUGCUUUGGAAAGCACAGUGUAUGGAACAAUUCCUUCUACUCCCCAGAAUAGACAUGUGGUAGGUAGACUCCCUAUUGAGAGCGACAGAGACAGUAGUGUGCAAAGGAAACAGGAUAUCCCGGGAGGUGUGCUAUAUUCCAGGUGCAAAGAUUCACAAUGAGAGAGAGAAGUUGCCAAGUCUUAUAAAGCCAACUGACCACAACCCCUUCCUUCUAUUUCAUGUGGGUCCUAACUAAACAUCAGGAAAAACUUUCUGACAAUAAGAGCAGUUUGGCAGUGGAAUGGUCUCCCUCAGGAGGUUUUGGACUCUCCUUCCUUGGAGGUUUUUAAGCAGAGGUUGAAUGGCCAUCCAUCAUGGAAGCUUUAGCUGAGAUUCCUGCACUGCAGGGGGUUGGACUUGAUGACCCUCAAAGUCCUUUCCAAUUCAAAAAUUCUGAUUCUAGGUCUUGGAUUCCCAAUGCCACCCAGGAGAGGGUUCCAUAUUCUCUUUAUUUAUCUGUGUGUUUUCUUCCACAAAUGACUUCGUGAAAUUCUGGGUUUUUCAGGAGACACCAUUUCCAGGGAUUUGUAAGAUGCUAGAUGCUGAGGCGCCAGAGCCAUGCCUCGUCUGUUCUGUGUGACUAAGAUUAAGACUCUGAAAAGAAAGUAGACCUCCGUAGCCCAUUGAGGCAGCUACUUACUUUUGUCCACUUCUAAAGCAGUACCUGUAAUCAGCACUUUCUAUGCCUAAGUAAAGCCAGCUUCUCAGUUCUACAUUCCCAAUACAAACACUGAAGGAAUUAAAGAUGCCUAUGGACUGUUAAUAGUCAGCCUGCUGUAACGUGCUCUGUGUGGGUGCAGAAAGCUGUUACAAGAUUUCUAAGUGGUAUAAUACAAUGGUAUCCUAAAACACAGAUUCUUCAGGAUCCAUGGGGCCAGAGGCGAAAGCAGGUAAAGCAGCUGAUGCAAAUCUCACCUUUCUGCAGUAGGCUGAGUCACACUCACACAUCCCGUUGUGUCUUCCGUCCAGACAAGCAAGAAGCAUUGUCAGAAUUCAAGUACACACUCCAGCCAGGCAAAAUAAAGGCAGUGUGUGGGAUGAGAAGGGUGUGCUGAGGAAGCAGCGUACAUUUGUUGCUUGGUCCACAUUUUCCUCAGGCACCACCCACCACUUGGAUGUGGCCCCUGGAGGGUUACCCAGAUAGGAAUGUGGCCCUUGGUAUGAAAGCAGUUCUCCACCCCUGGCUCAAAGUAUCCUGGAGGUGGACAUGGUGGGCUGGCACCCUUAAGCAGCAGCACCGCUGCUAGGACAUUUUGUUGCAGGUUGUUGUUGUUAAUUUAGUUUAUAUACCACCCUUUGUCCAAAGAUCUACUUGCGCUUUGACAUGCUUUCGAACUGCUAGGUUGGCAGGAGCAGGGACUGAGCAAUGGGAGCUCACCCCAUCACGGGGAUUCGAACUGCCGACCUUCUGAUCGGCAAGUCCUAGGCUCUGUGGUUUAACCCACAGCGCCACCUGAGUCCCUCUAAAAGCAUCCUGACAGACAACCUAAUAAUAAGUUAGUCAUCAAGAUAACAAUCCUCUCCCCAACACUUUUACAGGCCAUAGUUUAUGUAAUAGCCAAAGACCUGGGUAAAGAGGAAUGUUUUUGCCGGGUGCCUAAAGACAUGUAAUGAAGGCACCAGGUGAGCCUCUCUGCGGAGAGCGUUCCACAAUUGGGGAGUCACCACAGAAAAGGCCCGUUUUCUUGUUGCCACCCUCUGAACCUCUGUGGGAUGGAGGAUAUAGAGAAGGGCCUCAGAUGACAAGCACAGGGUAUGGGUUCAUAUGGGGAGAGGCGAUCCAUAAGGUGUUGAUCCUUAAGUUUCCACUUUUAACAAUAAUAACAAAUAUAAAACUACAAUUUAUUAUGAUUAUUCUUUUGGGAAUAGGCAUGCUUGUGGAAUUCAGCUGUGAAUUCUGAUACAACUGACCUAAUCCAUACUUACUGAGUUAAUAUGCAGGUCGAAAUGUCAGCUAUAUGUUUAAAGCAUGUGAUUUCCCCCAGAGAAUCAGGGGAACUGUAGUUUAUCAUUCCCAGCACCCUUAACAAACUGCAGUUCCCAGGAUUCUCUGGGGAAAAUAUGUGCUUUACAUGUAUGAUGUGUAUGCUGCCCUGCUUAUCAACCACAUUUCACACGCCAAGUUUAUUGGCUCAAAAAUGAAUAAAUCAACAAUGCAAAUAUUUAAAAUGCAAAGUUUUAGAAUUAAUGUGUUAAGAUAUGCGUAUUUUGUGAGAAAAUACAUUUUAAAAUGCAUUAUUUAAAUGUGUAAAAUGUUUAAAUGCGUUUAAAAUGCAUAAUUUAAAACUUUUUUUUGCAGAUUAAAAAAAUCACAGAUUUAUGCAGAAACAGGAUGGAAUGACCUUAGGUGACACACACUUUGAAUAGACAGAUCCAUUCCAUCCCUAUUCAGGAAUCUUCACAAUAAAAAGGCAGGAUGUGGAAAAACCCCCCCAGUAAAUCUCUAGUUUACACCUGGCCUACUUCAAAGGGUUGUUGUGAAGAUAAAAUGGGAGGGGAAACCUCUAAGAGGAAGGGUGGCAUGUAAAUGGAAUGAGUAAAAACCCAGAGUGAAAUAUAUGCUAGCAACCCAAGGGAAAAAUGUGUCAAAGCAUUAGAAAGGAACCUGGCUCAUCAGAAAUGUUAUUUAUAGAAGCCUCCAAAGCCACUGUAAGCCCUAAUUGGUGCCAAGGCUGCUUCAAAGGAUUUCUGUGAAAUCCUCACAAAUAGAGCGACACCAUCCUCAGCCAUUCAGCUGGGGAAUGCAAUAUUAAAAGAAUGGCAGUGGGCUGGGGGGGAUAACUUGAUAAAGGUUGCAAACACAGAGAAGGGAAAAGACAACAAAACAUCCACUUCUCCAAUUUAAAACCCAAUCACAAAUCCUGCUUGCAGCUGCACUGUGACAAAUUGUGUGCUCAUAAAUAAAUUCUAGAGGCUUUUUUAAGGAACCGACACUG
rnacentral:lncRNA from 1 species